UCAGGCGACGAGGGUCCUGCACGGGCCUGACCGGAUUCUUCUCAAGGCUCUGUUUCCCUUGUGAGAGCAGGACCCUAGUGACCCCUCAAGCGGACUGCGAGUCGCAGGUUUGGGGCCUCGUGUCACCCGCCUGGAGUGAGUCUGGGCACAGCCUGGAAGCCCUUGGUGGCUGGAGAGAUGCAGCUCUAGGAAAAAAUCUGGAUCCCUUUCUUGUCCUGGCUUUCUGAGGAGCCGUUCCAAAUUGGAGAGGGCUUUAGUCCAAUCAUCUGCAGGUUUUUUGGAGCAUUUUCUCCCAGGCCAUGGGGGGCUGAGGCCAUUUUCAGAAUGCCAGGGUCAUCUGGCAGCC